UACGGGGGGGGCAAGCGUUGCUCGGAAUUACUGGGCGUAAAGGGCUCGUAGGUGGCCAACUAAGUCAGACGUGAAAUCCCCAGGCUCAACUUGGGAACUGCGUCUGAUACUGGAUGGCUUGAAUUCGGGAGAGGGAUGCAGAAUUCCAGGUGUAGCGGUGAAAUGCGUAGAUAUCUGGAGGAACACCGGUGGCGAAGGCGACGUCCUGGACCGGCAUUGACGCUGAGGCGCGAAAGCCAGGGGAGCAAACGGG
rnacentral:rRNA from 1 species